rnacentral:rRNA from 1 species
GAUGAACGCUAGCGGCAGGCCUAAUACAUGCAAGUCGAACGGGAUCCAGAUCACAGCUUGCUUUGGUGUGGUGAGAGUGGCGUACGGGUGCGUAACGCGUGAGCAACCUACCCUUGUCAGGGGGAUAGCCCGGCGAAAGUCGGAUAAAUACCGCAUGACAUCAUUGGUAGGCGUCUUUCGAUGAUCAACGAUUUAUCGUACAAGGAGGGGCUCGCGUGACAUUAGCUAGUUGGUAAGGUAACGGCUUACCAAGGCUACGCUGCCUAGGGGAUCUGAGAGGAGGAUCCACUAGACUGGUACCGAGACACGGACUACACUGGUACGGGACGCAGCAGUAUGGAAGAUUGGGGACGGGAGGGUAGUCUGACCCAGCCACGCCGGGUGCAGAAAGACGGCGCUAGGGGUUGUAAUCUGCUUUUAAACGGGAACAACCGGCGGUACGUGUACCGGUCUGACUGUACCGAAAGAAUAAGGACCGGCUAACUUCGUG